rnacentral:rRNA from 1 species
GCGCACCAGUCGAGAAAACUCCGCAAUACACGAAAGUGUGACGGGGCCAUCCCGAGUGCCGUCCGCUGAGGACGGCUUUUCCCCAGUGUACACAGCUGGGGGAAUAAGGAGAGGGCAAGCCUGGUGUCAGCCGCCGCGGUAAUACCAGCUCUCCGAGUGGUGGGGACGCUUAUUGGGCCUAAAGCAUCCGUAGCCGGCUGGGCAAGUUCUCCGUUAAAUCCAACGAUUCAAUCGUUGGGCUGCGGGGGAUACUGUCCAGCUUGGGGGCGGGAGAGGCCGACGGUAUUCCCGGGGUAGGGGUGAAAUCCUAUAAUCCCGGGAGGACCACCAGUGGCGAAGGCUGUCGGCUAGAACGCGCCCGACGGUGAGGGAUGACAGCUGGGGGAGCGAACCGGAUUAGAUACCCCGGUAGUCU